rnacentral:misc_RNA from 1 species
GAUGAAGAACGUAGCAAAAUGCGAUAAGUAAUGUGAAUUGCAGAAUUCAGUGAAUCAUCGAAUCUUUGAACGCACAUUGCGCCCGCCAGUAUUCUGGCGGGCAUGCCUGUUCGAGCGUCAUUUCAACCCUCAAGCACAGCUUGGUGUUGGGACUCGCGUUAAUUCGCGUUCCCCAAAUUGAUUGGCGGUCACGUCGAGCUUCCAUAGCGUAGUAGUAAAACCCUCGUUACUGGUAAUCGUCGCGGCCACGCCGUUAAACCCCAACUUCUGAAUGUUGACCUCGGAUCAGGUAGGAAUACCCGCUGAACUUAAGUAUAUCAUAAGCGGAGGA